UUUGACUUUGAGCUUUAGAUAAAUUAAUAUGAUCACUAUUUUCUUUGCAGAUCAUACUCUCUGUGUUAGGCAUUCUUGGUCGUUGCUUCGGUGCAGGCACCAGUGUUUCUAGAUCAUCAGCCUGCUUUUCACUUUGACAUCUGCUGCUAGCUUUUCGUCUACAAGCUCUUCCAUGAUAAGUUUUCUUCGUUUCGAAUACAAAGCGAUGUUAAAACGUCCCUUUCGCUUGGUUGUAAGUGGAGUAUCCUCAGGUUCGUUGGGAGCAUUUUCUGGAACCGGAGAGCUAGUACACACAAUAAUAUAUCAAAUUAAAGCUGAAAGAAAGGGCUAAAGAACUGUCGUUUUACUUUCUUGAAUUAGGAUCUCUUGAAACAAAAAAAAUAGCUUUUAUAAAGCUUAAACUGCUUCAAAAACAUUGCAAAAUUACUUACCUAAUGACUGUCGUAUCUGAAGAAUCAAUAUCCAUUUGUAUUAAGAGUAAUAUACCAAAAUAAAGAUCAAUUCAAGCUC